rnacentral:misc_RNA from 1 species
UUUCCGUAGGUGAACCUGCGGAAGGAUCAUUACUGAGUGAGGGCCCCUCGGGGUCCAACCUCCCACCCGUGUUUAACGGACCUUGUUGCUUCGGCGGGCCCGCCUCACGGCCGCCGGGGGGCAUCUGCCCCCGGGCCCGCGCCCGCCGAAGCCACCUGUGAACGCUGUCUGAAGUAUGCAGUCUGAGACAAUUAUUAAAUUAAUUAAAACUUUCAACAACGGAUCUCUUGGUUCCGGCAUCGAUGAAGAACGCCAGC